rnacentral:tRNA from 1 species
UGCCCUAUAGCCAAGUGGUAAGGCAGUGCGCUCUGACCGCACCAUUUCGUUAGUUCGAAUCUAACUAGGGCAG